rnacentral:lncRNA from 1 species
AUUGAAGCUAAGGCUGUGAACAAAUUCUGAACUCCAUGCUGCCUGAUGAAUCCUGUUUUGUUUCAGCUGGGGCAAUAGAAGACUCUUGGGGAAAGAUUGUGCUAUUCAAAUCCUUCCAUGGUUCCUCUUCUGAAGAACUCACAGAACUUCAGCUGCUCGGUGCCUUUCCUGCAGCUUUUAAAUCAGCUCUCCUCUUGGAAGCAAGACAAGAUCGCUCAUCUCUGUGCUGGUGAUUGCUCUGGAGAUAUUGUAGUCCCACUCUUAAAAUAUGAAAUUUAUUUGAUUAUAAAGGAUAUUAUUAUAUAUGCACACCUAUGUAGAUAUAUGCUAGGUAAACAUUCCUUUUCCCUGCUUGAGAGAAUUUAAUAAUUACCAGAUGAGAAUGAUAACCAUGCGUUUUUUUCAUUAUUAACAUUCAAAUAGUGUAGCUCUGAUUUAAUGUUCUAAGAUAUCUUUUUGUUCUUUGCCUUUUUCUAGGCUGACAAUACAAAGUAAAAUCACUUCUUAAAUCUUAAAGCCUUGUGAAUCUUAAUUUUAACUGUCUUCCAUAGUUCUGAGAGGGAGGGAAUGAGCAUCUCAUUUUACUGAGGCUUUUUUGUUGACUCUUAAAACAGAAGAUAGAAGCUUGCUACAGCGUUACCCAGAUGUAUUUAGCUUUGACUUGUGAGUUCAAACCCAGCAUACUUUAUAAUAAAAUAAAAAUAUAAGUAAGAUAAAAU